UACUCCUACGGGAGGCAGCAGUGGGGAAUCUUCCGCAAUGGGCGAAAGCCUGACGGAGCAACGCCGCGUGAGUGAAGAAGGUCUUCGGAUCGUAAAGCUCUGUUGAGAGGGACGAGAGAUUACUUCAGGAAAUGGGAGUAAGAGGACGGUACCUUUCGAGGAAGCCACGGCUAACUACGUGCCAGCAGCCGCGGUAAU
rnacentral:rRNA from 1 species